GCGCUCACGUUGGCAGCACAUGUACAGAAGCAAUACAGACACGAGUGGCACGGCCCCUGCCCAAGGCUGCCAUGCAAAUUGGUGAAACAUUGCAGAUUUUU
ensembl:snRNA U6 U6 spliceosomal RNA